UCUUGGUCAUUUAGAGGAAGUAAAAGUCGUAACAAGGUUUCCGUAGGUGAACCUGCGGAAGGAUCAUUACCUAGAGUUUGUGGACUUCGGUCUGCUACCUCUUACCCAUGUCUUUUGAGUACCUUCGUUUCCUCGGCGGGUCCGCCCGCCGGUUGGACAACAUUCAAACCCUUUGCAGUUGCAAUCAGCGUCUGAAAAAACUUAAUAGUUACAACUUUCAACAACGGAUCUCUUGGUUCUGGCAUCGAUGAAGAACGCAGCGAAAUGCGAUAAGUAGUGUGAAUUGCAGAAUUCAGUGAAUCAUCGAAUCUUUGAACGCACAUUGCGCCCCUUGGUAUUCCAUGGGGCAUGCCUGUUCGAGCGUCAUUUGUACCUUCAAGCUCUGCUUGGUGUUGGGUGUUUUGUCUCGCCUCCGCGCGCAGACUCGCCUUAAAACAAUUGGCAGCCGGCGUAUUGAUUUCGGAGCGCAGUACAUCUCGCGCUUUGCACUCAUAACGACGACGUCCAAAAGUACAUUUUUACACUCUUGACCUCGGAUCAGGUAGGGAUACCCGCUGAACUUAAGCAUAUCAAUAAGCGGAGGAA
rnacentral:rRNA from 1 species